UGUGAGCCACCCCAUCCGGCCCCUAUUACUUCAAUUGAUGAUUGAUCUUGGGUAAGUUGCUUGCCUCCUCUGUGUCAAUUUACUCGUCUGUAAAACAGGAUAUCUACUUCUUAGUAUUGUUCAGAAGACCAAACGGAGAAAUACAGUUGUUGUGCAUUGUCUCGGUAUCUAGAAAAAUGUCUGGCACACAGUAGGUGCUCAAUUAAUGUUAGCUAACUGUGAUCUCUUGUUAGCUGAUGUUUCUCUAAUAGUAGAUUCUUAGCCAAGACACUUCCACUCUCUGGCCUUUUGUGCUGUACAACAUUAUCCAUCAAGGACUGGGUGGAAAAAACCUAGUUCCUUUUGCCUCUAGUGCCUCUAGUAAAAUGAAAGAGUUGGGCUGGUGGAUAUCUAAGAGUCUGUCAAUACUGAGAGUCCCUUCUAACCCAGGUCCCUCCCUGAGGAAAUCCCCAUCAUGACAAGCACUCAGAGAAGUUGGUUGGUACAGAGUUUCUCUGCUGGUUACCCCAGGUGUGGUGUGGACCCCAGAAGGAUGACAGUUUGAAUCCAAGGGCAGUCCCCUUCCUGGCACAGCAAGCAAAAUAAAGUGAAGCCCCUGGAGGCUCAGGCUCCACAGCAAGACCACAGAGAAGACCAGCCCUCUCCCAUUGCCACAAAGACAAGAGAUAGCUUGAAAGAAGACAGCUAAAAGUGGACAAAGAUGAGCUGGGGGGCCCAUAGGAGAGGAUUCAUACCACCCAGCCCCCUGUGGCACCUUCUUCCAGCGUAAAAUCCCGCGAGACUGGCACUAUCUGGUCCAGAGAGACAUCGUCCCCGGUAAUGGCCAUCCUCCGGUGCGUAUAGAGGAAGAGACUAAGGGCAGGAAGCAGAGGAGACUCAGACCCUGCCCUGGAGGGACAGUUGAAGUUCAGCUGGAGGGUGCAGUGAUGAACAACCCCAUGGCCCAGACAGGUGGGGACCAAGCCCCUCACUCACGCGUGUUCCUGGCCGCCGUGCUCCAGGCGGUAGCGCACGAGUCCCA